AUUGAACGCUGGCGGCAGGCUUAACACAUGCAAGUCGAGCGGUAGCACAGGGGAGCUUGCUCCCUGGGUGACGAGCGGCGGACGGGUGAGUAAUGUCUGGGAAACUGCCUGAUGGAGGGGGAUAACUACUGGAAACGGUAGCUAAUACCGCAUAACGUCGCAAGACCAAAGAGGGGGACCUUCGGGCCUCUUGCCAUCAGAUGUGCCCAGAUGGGAUUAGCUAGUAGGUGGGGUAAUGGCUCACCUAGGCGACGAUCCCUAGCUGGUCUGAGAGGAUGACCAGCCACACUGGAACUGAGACACGGUCCAGACUCCUACGGGAGGCAGCAGUGGGGAAUAUUGCACAAUGGGUGCAAGCCUGAUGCAGCCAUGCCGCGUGUGUGAAGAAGGCCUUCGGGUUGUAAAGCACUUUCAGCGAGGAGGAAGGUGGUGGGCUUAAUACGCUCAUCAAUUGACGUUACUCGCAGAAGAAGCACCGGCUAACUCCGUG
rnacentral:rRNA from 1 species